CAACCAUGCAUAAAGAGGAGUUGCAUCUGAAAUUUUUCAUGUGUGUGAUUCAGUCUCGCCAGUUAGUCAGGACUCCUCAGAGAACAGCUGGGGAAGCUUCAACUUGCUGCAUGCUCAUACAAAAGCCACCACCCAAGACAGAUGCCUUGAAGAGUCUAGAUACUAUGGAUGAUCCAGACACCGUGGAAGGCAUACCUAUUUUUAAAAAUGACCCCCUUUGCUCUGAUGACCCAUUUGGAACUGCUUCUGUGGUUUGAACUCAGCAUUAUCCCAUGGACAAAAUUUUGAUGUUCA